rnacentral:rRNA from 1 species
GUGUAUCGAGCAAGCUUAAGCCGGUAGGUGUAGGCGCAGCGAAAGCGAGUCUGAACAGGGCGUUCAGUUCGAUGCAUUAGACCCGAAACCAAGUGAUCUAGCCAUGAGCAGGUUGAAGGUACGGUAACACGUACUGGAGGACCGAACCCAUAUCUGUUGCAAUAGAUCGGGAUGACUUGUGGCUAGGGGUGAAAGGCCAAUCAAACUUGGAGAUAGCUGGUUCUCCGCGAAAUCUAUUUAGGUAGAGCGUCGACCGAAUACCCCCGGGGGUAGAGCACUGGAUGGGCUAUGGGGACUCACCGUCUUACUGAUCCUAACCAAACUCCGAAUACCGGGGAGUACUAGUCGGCAGACACACGGCGGGUGCUAACGUCCGUCGUGGAGAGGGCAACAACCCUGACCACCAUCUAAGGUCCCUAAGUUAUGGCUAAGUGGGAAAGGAUGUGAGGAUCCCAAAACAACCAGGAUGUUGGCUUAGAAGCAGCCAUCAUUUAAAGAAAGCGUAACAGCUCACUGGUCUAAAUAAGGGUCUUAGC